UGCCCUAAAGAUUAAGACAUGCAAAUAUAAAGGCCGCCCCUCGCACGGGUGUCCUGGUGGAUUGCUCCAUAAAAAAUUACUAGGCUACUCGAUUGUGAGAAUCUAAACGGAAUAUCUUUUGUAACCAACAGCUAAUACGGCAGAAACUGUUUGUGUUUUACGACGCAAACUGCUCAUGUUAGUUUAAACCAACCCGGCAACGGAUUUGGUGAGUCACAACAUCUAGCGUCGGACACGCCUUGUGCGGUCCGGAAUCGAUUGCGGUUUUUCCCUAUCAGGUUUCGAUGGUAGUGUAUUGAACUAUCAUGCCGUUGACGGGUGACGGGGGUUUUGGGACUGACUCCGGAGAAAAAGCCUGAGAGACGGCUUUUAGACCUAUGGGUUGCAGCAGUUACGGAAAUUAUCCCAUGCGCCUCGCGCGAGAUAGUGACAGGGAAUAUCAAAGCGGGACUCUUCGAGUCUUGCUGUUGGAAUGAGAACAAACUAAAACCUUUAACGAGGAUCAAUUGGAGGGCAAGUCUGGUGCCAGCAGCCGCGGUAAUUCCAGCUCCAAUAAGGAACAUUAAAUUUGUUGCAGUUAAAAAGCUCGUAGUUGAAUUUCUGCGCGUCGUCGUCCGGCCGCAUUGGCGCAAGCCUUUGCGCGUCCGUGCCGCGCGCAUGCUCGCGUUGACCCCGAUGGUUUACUCUAUCGGUGGAAGGCGCGUCUUUUACUGUGAACAAAACGAAGCGUUCAUGGCGGGCUUUGAGCUUGAACGAAUCGCACGGAAUAAUGAAAACGGCACCGCUCGUUUUCGUUGGUUCGCGAAUGGUGUUAUUGGUUAACAGGAACAGUUGGGGGUAUUCGUACUUCAACGCUAGAGGUGAAAUUCUUGGAUUGUUGAAUGACGAACGACUGCGAAGGCAUUUACCAAGGAUGUUUUCAUUAAUCAAGAACGAAAGUUUGGGGAUCGAAGAUGAUUAGAUACCAUCGUAGUCCAAACAGUAAACGAUGCCGACUCGGGAUCCGAGCGUGUUGAUUAUGACCGCUCGGGCACCGUAUGAGAAAUCAAAGUCUUAGGGUUCCGGGGGGAGUAUGGUCGCAAGGCUGAAACUUAAAGGAAUUGACGGAAGGGCACACCAGAGGUGGAGCCUGCGGUUUAAUUUGACCCAACACGG
rnacentral:rRNA from 1 species